rnacentral:rRNA from 1 species
ACGAAGGGGACUAGCGUUGUUAGGAAUUACUGGGCGUAAAGCGCACGUAGGCGGAUUUGUAAGUCAGGGGUGAAAUCCCGGGGCUCAACCUCGGAACUGCCUUUGAUACUGGGUGUCUUGAGUGUGAGAGAGGUAUGUGGAACUCCGAGUGUAGAGGUGAAAUUCGUAGAUAUUCGGAAGAACACCAGUGGCGAAGGCGACAUACUGGCUCAUUACUGACGCUGAGGCGCGAAAGCGUGGGGAGCAAACAGGA